rnacentral:rRNA from 1 species
UACGGAGGGUGCAAGCGUUAUCCGGAUUUACUGGGUUUAAAGGGUGCGUAGGUGGAUAAUUAAGUCAGUGGUGAAAUCUUCAGGCUUAACCUGGAAACUGCAAUUGAUACUAUUUAUCUUGAAUACUUUGGAGGUAAGCGGAAUAUGUCAUGUAGCGGUGAAAUGCUUAGAUAUGACAUAGAACACCAAUUGCGAAGGCAGCUUACUACACAGUAAUUGACACUGAGGCACGAAAGCGUGGGGAUCAAACAGG